CGAAGACUUAAAAGGCGAGGUUGUCGUCAAGGUCAUAAGGAAUUAUUCAUGCUCAUUCUUCAUACAUGAGAGCUUGAUAUCAUGUUUAGUAAGUAUCGGGAAGGUUAGAUGUUAAGCGAAUUGAAGAAAUUAAGUUUGUUGAAACUUUGGGAAAAUUCGGCAGAAUUUCGGACAGAAAUUUUGGGUCAACUUUGGGGAGGCAUAUCUCCUAGAAUACAAGGAGUUACAGAUCCCAUAACCUAUGCUUUCAUAAGUUCAGCGAGUCUACUUUCCAACACAACUGACAGAUCCGAAUUCCCAUAUCAAUUCUGGGAGUUAUGGGCCGUUGAAGUGUCGACGAUCCGUCGAAGCACAUCGACGACCCGUCAAUUUUCAGGCAGUGCAGCUGAUGUAUAAAUGCAUCUAUUUCGUGAUUUUUUUUUCAUUUCAACUCACACCAAUAGACCCUAAACUCUCCCUAAUGCUCAUCAACCCUUUCCCAACCUUUCUUUAUCAUCCAAGUAAGAUCCGAGCCUCGAAAACCCGAGCUAGUGAAGGGGAAGUUGUUCCUAGGGUUUCUAUUGAAGUUGUUGAGCUUAGGAGUUGGAUUUGAAGUUUAGUUCUUGGAAUUCCAGCCCCUUUAAGUGUUACAAGCUCGGGAAAUAAGCAUCGGACAUUAGGUAGACUCCAAGGUUCAGGUAGAUAGAGAGACGAUCCAGCUCAGUAGGACUUCCCCUUAGCUGUUUGGUGAGCUCCACUUGAUCCGGAGCUGCGGUCCAUUUUGGUAGGCUAUUUUGAGAUGUAUAUACAUGUAUAUGGGUAUGGCGGGGCCCUGUCCCGUCCUUUCUAUAGCUUUCUAUUCCAUUAGAGGUUUGUAGACAGUUGUAUGUAGUUGGUACAUGAUGUAGCCUUGUCGGCUCUUAUUCUUUUAAGUACAGCAUAUAUAGCAGCCUAGUCGGCUUGUACUGUUACUUCGGUAUUUUGCCUAUAU